UCCGGUGGACUUACAGCUGCACAGGCGACGUCUUGUAAGGGAGUUUUCGAUCCCAUGGACCAUGCCCCAAAUCUCGUUGGUGCUGACACAUAAGCUAUUAGGACCGUGCUACCUGUCCGUAAUUAGAGGAGCACUGCAAGAGGCCUGUUCUUGGUCUGAGCACUUGGCCGCUUCGUCGAUGUGCGAUAGUGACUGACGGAGAGGGUAUCAAGACAACCAUUGGACAAAGAUGCCACCACCAGUAGUACACACACGCAACACGGCAGUGAUGUCCGCUCCACUGGUCCUGCUCUCGGUGCUGUUGAAGUACUUGGCGGGUCAGAAACAAGCGAUGACUUCAACAGAUCCGCUGCACCCUCCCCGACCUCUUCCAGACUAGCUCCUCUGGACCUCUCCAGACAAGUGUUUGCAAGCAACAUGUCAGCAUCACCAGGACCUCCUGCUCAGCUGACGAAAGACAUGGGAGAAUCUUUGCGGCACAAUCUCAAGUAGCACCUCGUCAGAUAACAGGAAGCCCUGCUCUCAUUUUGACCUCUUCUGACGAGAAUCAAGGGAACACAGCAAGAUGUGCGGUGAAGGAUGUUUGGAACGAAGAUGUGUCGACACUCAUCAAGGAUGAAGACUAUGUAAUCCCGUUAUUUCUUCUGUAAGUGAUAACAGGACCAUGGCAGAGGAUAAGGAUGACGACUGCAGAAUUGUGCGAGGAGAGCAAAAUUCAGUGUCAAGAUCUAUAAACGGAGCACGCAUCGUCACCAGAUUUCUGCUGAUCGGACCUUCUGGUAUCCAGCUGUUAUCACCUAUUCCAUCUUCCUGGCGACACGGACGACCAUCAGCAAACAGCAGGUGUUUUCUCCGACAACAGCUCAGGUAAAACUAAACCCAGUUCCCUGCUAUUCCUGCUCAUGCAUUCCUACAACCCAGGGUGUGGGAGCAGCCAGAAGGCUUCACAUGGGGGCAAGAGGUGCUGACAGAGCCUCAACAUGUGCUACACCUACUGUGUGGGCUGCUUGUCCUUGCAGUUUUUGUUUGGUACUCUAAGACAUUCCUCAUUUGCAAAAAUAAAGUAUAAAAAUGUA